AUUGAACGCUGGCGGCAGGCCUAACACAUGCAAGUCGAGCGGGGUUUUCGGACCUAGCGGCGGACGGGUGAGCAAUGCGUAGGAAGCUACCCGAUAGAGGGGGAUACCAGUUGGAAACGACUGUUAAUACCGCAUAAUGUCUACGGACCAAAGUGUGGGACCUUCGGGCCACAUGCUAUCGGAUGUGCCUACGUGGGAUUAGCUAGUUGGUGAGGUAAUGGCUCACCAAGGCGACGAUCCCUAGCUGGUUUGAGAGGAUGAUCAGCCACACUGGAACUGAGACACGGUCCAGACUCCUACGGGAGGCAGCAGUGGGGAAUAUUGGACAAUGGGCGCAAGCCUGAUCCAGCCAUGCCGCGUGUGUGAAGAAGGCCUUCGGGUUGUAAAGCACUUUCAGUAAGGAGGAAGCGUUGUGUGUUAAUAGUACACAGCGUUGACGUUACCUACAGAAGAAGCACCGGCUAACUCUGUGCCAGCAGCCGCCGUAACAC
rnacentral:rRNA from 1 species